AGAUUCACACACUGGAAUUGAAGCUUGGUGAGUGUGCUGUCACAGCCACUAAGGGGACAGCACUCUUUAGGCCUCACACUUUUGUCCCAAUGCACCAGCUGACUGAGCCUUCCUGCCAUAUUCUCACCUACCUUUCAGAGGAGAGCCAUAACCGAUUUUCAGCCACUGAAGUGACAAAUAAGACACUGGCAGCAGAGAUGCAGGAGCUGCGGGCUCGGCUGGCCGAGGCGGAGGAGACAGCCCGGACAGUGGAACGACAGAAGAAC
rnacentral:lncRNA from 1 species